rnacentral:rRNA from 1 species
UACAGAGGUCGCAAGCGUUGUUCGGAUUUACUGGGCGUAAAGGGCGCGUAGGCGGCAGGGCGUGUCAAGUGUGAAAUCUCCGGGCCCAACCCGGAAAGUGCGCUUGAAACUACCUUGCUCGAGUCCGGAAGAGGGAAUCGGAAUACAGGGUGUAGCGGUGAAAUGCGUUGAUAUCCUGUAGAACACCGGAGGCGAAGGCGGAUUCCUUGUACGGUACUGACGCUGAGGCGCGAAAGUCGGGGGAGCAAAC